AUGAUCCGAAUAACCAUCCCUAUGAAAUAGUAAAACCAGGCCCGUGAAAAGGCCGAAAGAUAGAGAGAGCUUUCUAAACAGCUUGGGAUCGCAAAAUGCCCAAAACCAUGGCGCAAUUUCUAAACCUAAAUCAUCUCGGGUCAUCGUUUUCGACCCGACCGCAUUGGCUCCUAAUCUCUCACGACGCAAUCAAAGUGUUGAUCUAAUUGGAGCUCUCAAUCUCAGUUGCGACGGCAGAUUUUCUUGCCUUUUUCUUUUUCCCUCAUACAAUCACAGAGAGGUUGUUAAAUGAAAUGAAUGUUGUACAAAA